rnacentral:rRNA from 1 species
UACGUAGGGUGCAAGCGUUGUCCGGAAUUAUUGGGCGUAAAGAGCUCGUAGGCGGCUUGUCACGUCGACUGUGAAAACCCGGGGCUCAACUCCGGGCCUGCAGUCGAUACGGGCUGGCUUGAGUGCGGUAGGGGAGACUGGAAUUCCUGGUGUAGCGGUGAAAUGCGCAGAUAUCAGGAAGAACACCUAUGGCGAAGGCAGCUCUCUGGGACGGUACUGACGCUGAGACGCGAAAGCGUGGGGGAGCGAACAGG